rnacentral:rRNA from 1 species
AGUGAACGCUGGCGGUAGGCCUAACACAUGCAAGUCGAACGGCAGCACAGUAAGAGCUUGCUCUUACGGGUGGCGAGUGGCGGACGGGUGAGGAAUACAUCGGAAUCUACUUUUUCGUGGGGGAUAACGUAGGGAAACUUACGCUAAUACCGCAUACGACCUACGGGUGAAAGUAGGGGAUCUUCGGACCUUGCGCGAUUGAAUGAGCCGAUGUCGGAUUAGCUAGUUGGCGGGGUAAAGGCCCACCAAGGCGACGAUCCGUAGCUGGUCUGAGAGGAUGGUCAGCCACACUGGAACUUAGACACGGUCCAGACUCCUACGGGAGGCAGCAGUGGGGAAUAUUGGACAGUGGGCGCAAGCCUGAUCCAGCCAUACCGCGUGGGUGAAGAAGGCCUUCGGGUUGUAAAGCCCUUUUGUUGGGAAAGAAAAGCAGCAGGUUAAUACCCCGCUGUUCUGACGGUACCCAGAGAAUAAGCACCGGCUAACUUCGUG